UACGUAGGGUGCGAGCGUUGUCCGGAAUUAUUGGGCGUAAAGGGCUCGUAGGCGGUUUGUCGCGUCGGGAGUGAAAUCCACUGGCUUAACUGGUGGCUUGCUUUCGAUACGGGCAGACUGGAGGUAUGCAGGGGGAGAACGGAAUUCCUGGUGUAGCGGUGAAAUGCGCAGAUAUCAGGAGGAACACCGGUGGCGAAGGCGGUUCUCUGGGCAUGUCCUGACGCUGAGGAGCGAAAGCGUGGGGAGCAAACAGG
rnacentral:rRNA from 1 species